GUAGAGCGAUAAAGGUCUCCGCCUGGUCUCCGGUUGCAUUGGAUGCGGAACUCUGGAUGAAAAAGCAGCAACACUGACUAAGAGCCGGUGGUUUAACUGUCAACUUAGCACAAGGAGAAGGCGAAACGACUCGCUAAGCUGAUUUAGUGCCUGUCAUGAUCAUCCAUAGUGGAUAGGUAAAGGUGCAUGUGUGUGCAUGUGGCCCCCAGGUGCCGCUAAACGACCAUGGAGCCCGCUGUCAUCCGUGUGUACUCUUCCUCUCCGCCUCCAUUGGACGAGGCUGGAGAGGAAGAAGAGCAGGAUGAAUUAGGUGAGUUUGGCAGUUUCUGUUGUGAAGGAGUGUCAUCCAGCUGCAGUUUCUCAGAGAUCGACACACCCACAACAUUCAACCAAUCAAAUGCGCUAGAGGACUCGCCGCCUGACCUAUCUGUGCAGGAUCUCACUGUUUCGGGAAAGAGUGUAUGGGCUGAUGAAAAAAAACUGGUAGGGGAAUCACAACAGCCUUGUGUCGUAUCAAACCAAGAAACAUCAAGAAAUGAGACUGAGGAGUACAGUUGUGUUGAGAAUAAGGAGAAAGAUUCUUUAGAAAUUGUUAUGAGUGGUGUUGCAUCCUCCGACCUCCAGAGGGAGCUCAUUAUUUCUAGCAGUGAUCAGCACUGUCUCCCAUUACCCACUGAUAUUAGAGACAACAGCACAGGUGAGCAUAUAGACAACACAGGUGAUGGACAUUCAGGUCUCAGUAAUGGCUACAGUAAGUAUUUUGAGCAUGACAUAGAAUCUAGUGUAAGCUCUGAACUGGAUGUCAGAAUAUCAGAAGAACAGAGCCUGCCGACAUCUAACAGUCACUUAUACGAUGAAGACACUGCAGAUCCCGAAGACACAGAAGUGAGGGUAGAGCUACGCGAUGUCUCCCAGUCAUUUACUUCCUGUGGAGAUGCAGAGGAUGCUGAGGGAACAGAAGAGACGGGGAGUAUCUCAGACUCCUCUAGUCAUGUUUAUGGUGAUGGGUCAACAAACUGUAAUGACACAGCCGAAGCAGCAACAUCCCCCUCAACAGAUAUGGAUCUUAUCUCUGAUACACAGCUGACUGGAGAUACGAGUGAAAUACAUGAAUCUUCAGUGAACAUAGAGACAGGGGUAGAAGCAGACAAUACGGCUUUUAAUGAGACCUCCAAUGAGGACUUUGGAAAUUUCAGAGAUGCAACUCAGGAUUUAACGGACUUCAGCCGGACUGAGUCUUUAACCCAGGAGGGAUUCGCUGAUUUUGUCACAGCAAUGUCCAGGUGCUCCACAGACGAUGAGUUUGUUGACACGGACACGCUGAAGGACUUUCAGGAGGAAGAUGAGCUAGCCCAAGAAGACUGUGCGGGAGCUGAGGGAGCUUUUUGUUCAGAGUUGCCACCUAGUGACAGUUUUGCAGAUUUUAGUUCAGCUCCGUUUGGUGGUUUGGCAGUGGAUGAGGGUGAGAACUGGGCUUCGUUUGGACAGCAGGAAAGUGUAGAAGAAGUUGAGGAUUCAUGGGCAACUUUUGGGGAGGAGCAGAGUACUUUACAAUAUGAAGAAAAACAAGAUGGUGUAACUUCAGCACCCUGUAGUGACAACCUCGAGAACACCGGAACAGACAGAGACACAGCUGAAUUCUGCUCCAAAAUACAGCAUCUCUUUAGAACAGCCUUUCCUUUAGAUGUCAAUCCUGAAAUCAGUGAGGUCACAGAAGUCUCACUCCUCCAGAACAUCCUGCAGGAACAGGAUCCCCAGGACCAAAGGGAUGCGAGUAUCUCCUUUUCUCAGGGGCAUGAUUUGGCCAUGUGGUGUCACCUUCAGGACAUUCACGGUGCGCAUGGCCUCAAGUUCAAGUGGGCAGGUUCCCAUGGCAACAGAAUCUUGCUGGAUUGCCUAGGAAUCAGAAAUAUUUUGUUCACUGGGGAGAAGAAGCUGCCACUAAUUGUGCCUAUGUUUGCUGCCGGACUGGGAAUGCUGGAACCCACCAAAGAGUCUCAAAAAUCUCUCGCCUCACCUGCACUUUCCUCACCCGUUCCUGUGGAGAGUGGAAGUAUUUUAUGCACUCAGGUGGCGCCAUCUUUGACCAUUCACGUUGACGGUACGUCUUUUCGUCGUGCCUCUUUCUCUAGAGCUCAAGAUAAAAUCACUUGCCACUCACGGCAGAAAUCCUACUCCUGACACUGUCGCUCUUAUCACCCUUCUCCGAGCACUUCUUCUUCACGACGCUUGUUUCCUCUCUCCAUUUCUCUGACUUCCUGUUCCAUUUAGAGCACAGAAGCUUUCUCUCCUGGGUGCAUUGUUUUAUCUGUAUAGAUUUAAUAAAACACUGAGCUGUCAUAGCAGGACAAGUAGCCAUUGAAUUACAAUUCAUUGUAGGGAUUUAAAAUAUAGAAAUUUUGUCUUCUUAAUUUCAGUGUUUCCUCUUUUGCCCAUCGUAAAAUACUACUCAAUCAGGAGACAAAUAUGUUAAUCUUUGUUUCCCUUUUAUAUCUUUGUAUUCUGCUCUUUUGUGCCUCUUUAUCUUUGUUCCUGCAUAUGCACUAUGAAAUGUCAGGCUAUGGUCACUAUGCUCUUCACACUCAUGCACACCGAGGCUAAAAUGUUCUACCUCAGAAGAUGAGUAUGCAGCAUCACCUGUGACUAAUUGCCAGCAUAUGCAAAUACAAAUAUACCCAUUAACACAUUUUUUGGAAUAGUCCCUAUGCACCAGCUACUGCCUCAGGUUUGACUGAAAAAGAAAGGCUUUUUUGGAAUAGCUGAAUUUACUGCUGGUGCUUAUUCUAAGCCAUUGCAUAGCUUGUCUUAAGGAGAAUCGCAACCAUAUUUUUCAAGAUUUAAAUAGACUUGUUACAACUACUGAAAUUUGGAACAAAAAGUAUGGGUUUGGGAAAAAAUUCUGUUACACAGUCUAUGUACAUUUUCUCUUUCUUUUCCAUUAUUCUAUUAUUUCCUUUCCUAUUCUGUUUUUCCCCUGUGGUGAAGACAAAAAAAUUCCCCUUAUAAGAAACUACUGUGAUUAAUAGUGAGCGUUUCAGUAAUGCACUUUUGACUUGAUUGCAAACUGUGAUCUACCCAGUUAUUGCUUCAUUCUAAAGAAAUGAUCCUGCUUCGAUAUAAGCAGUAUAUUAUCUAUCAAGCUUUUAUGAUAAAAUGCCAGAGGAAUUAAUUUACUUAUUUUUUAAAAGUAAAAAUCAUGCAAACAGUCACAAAUAGGAGUCAGCUGGGCCAGUGUUUCAAAAAGUUUACAAGGUGAAAUAUAAAUGUGAUAUAUAUAUAUAUAAAGCAUGUGCAGGUGGGAAUAUUUUUCUAUGUGGAUAAACAUCUGAUUUUGCUUUUACACUGUAAUUCAGUUAUAGUUUGCUUCGUGCAGACAGAAAUUUACUCAUAUUUGCAUUGCUUUCUUGUAUUCUUGUUCAUACUAGUAUCUUGUAUUCUAGUUCAAGGCUUUAUGUCAUGACAAUAUUGGAAAAGGUGAAAAACUGAAUAUAGAAUCAAUAAUCACACUAGUCUUAUGCCAAAAUUUUUAUCUUUUAGGUGUACAAGGGAUAGUUUACCCAAAAAUGACAAUUCUGUCAUUAUCUUUCUUUGUGUUCAGCAGAACAAAGAAAUGUAUACAGGUUUGGAACAACCUGAGGGUGAGUAAAUGAUAAUGAAAACUCAUAAUCAUUUACUCACCCUCUUGUCAUUUCAAACCUCUUCUGCAGAAAACAAGAUAUUUUAAGGAAUGUUGGUAACAAACAACGGUGGUACCCAUUGACUUGCAUUGGUUAUGUUUGUACAAUAGAUGCCAAUGAGUACCGCCGUUGUUUGGUUACCAAUAUUCUUCAAAAUAUCUUCUUUUGUGUUCUGCUGAAGAAAGAAAGUCAUGCAGGUGUCAAAGGACAAGAGAGUGAGUAAAUGAUGAAAGAGUUUUCAUUGGAACUAUCCAUUUAAAUAGACUUACAAUGUGUAUUUUGAUGUUUACUGCCUGGCCCAACGUACUUCUGUUGUAAGUGCCUUACUGUAAACAUGAGUUUUGCUUAUUUAAAAAAACGAGAGAAAAUUAAAAUUGUCUGAAAUCAGUGACAAAAUCAGUGCUAUUGAAACCAGAGCAUUAUUUUAACCAAAGUUGUUACAUGAAAUUAUUUUCCUGGAUAGCAUUUUAUGUUGUGUUUGCACAAUAAACGACAGUAUGACUAUAUCGUUCUGUCACUGUUCUGUUCAUCUGUGGCUUUAAUAUGUUCUCCUGUUCUUUUUACCUGCCCUAUCAUUUCUGCAAAAAGUUACUGGUCUGCAGUCCGUUUUUGUUUACACUUUUCAAAUCAAAUCAACCAGAUCUUCCUUUACAUAUUAUUUUAUGUGUGUGUAUAAUACUGUUUACAUAUUGUGGGUAUGUAAUACUUCCUAAGCUACAGUACUAAUAUUGAACUAACCUUCCCUGUUCUGCUAUUAUUGCAAUGACUCGAGAUGGUGGAAUCUCAGAACUAAAUUUGGACUAUUUUGGGCCUGUGGAUGAAUGUAGCUCAGAUAGUGAAAAUGACACUCCACUACCAGGUUAGACGCUCUGGUUAGACAGUUUUGCAUUGAAGUGAUUAGAUUAUUGUGAAACUUUGCUUUCUUCUCUCUUCUGUGUGUGAUUUCAAAAUCAGUGCUUGACAUCUUAGAAUUGAACAUCUUAGUCUUUGACUUCUGUCUAUGACUUACUCUCUCUGGGUUUGCUUACAGUAUCUGCCUGUGCAUUGAUCCAGAGUUGUAUGAGCUGACAACAGCUAAAAUGGAGACCAAAAGUGCUGGUCACAGCAUUACAGAUGCCUUCACCAAACUAAUAGAAUCUAUGGAGAAAACCACAAC